UAUGUUGAAAAUUUUUUUUCCUCCAAGCAUAUCAAUUGUUUUAUUAGAAAUCUCUUAUUUUCAGAGCGAGAGCAAAGCUGAUUUCGAUGAGCAUUGCACCCAAAAAGCAUGUUUGCUGCAGCAUACUUCAACGUUUGAGCGUUUUUAAAUAAGAUUAUUCCAGUGUUGUUGUCGUAUUUCCUUCCUUCUAGCUAAAUAUUCUUUCUUUCAUAUUUCAAAAGAACGUCAGUAGUGUUCCAAGGCAAGUACGGUGGAGGACGAUAGGUGACGACUAAUGAAGCUUAAGAGAGCGCAUGCUCUAUUCCUCGAAGAUAUUCAAAGUACGUUGCAAAUAGGCGAUUGUAGAUUAGUUACAAUAUAUCAUUAUUUUAAUGGUUUGGCAUAGAAGUUUUUAAUUAUAUAAUAAACUCAUAAUAAGCAGCAAGAAAGGCACUACUUAGAAUUCCUUAGUAUUACUCAGUUAUACCGUGAAUACUUACAACUAAUUAAGUCAUUUACCUAAUAUCAAAUGCAGGAGCUCAACCACUACAAUUUUUACUCCUAUAAUGCAUAUAUUUUUUGUGUUCCAUUAUUGUAAAAUAUUAGAUUGAAUUAGUUUUCUAAAGAAAUGAA